AACACAUGCAAGUCGAGGGGAAACCACCUCUAAAGCUUGCUUUUGAUGGGCGUCGACCGGCGCACGGGUGAGUAACGCGUAUCCAACCUGCCCACCACUUGGGAAUAACCUUGCGAAAGUAAGACUAAUACCCAAUGACGUCUCUAGAAGACAUCUGAAGGAGAUUAAAGAUUUAUCGGUGAUGGAUGGGGAUGCGUCUGAUUAGCUUGUUGGCGGGGUAACGGCCCACCAAGGCGACGAUCAGUAGGGGUUCUGAGAGGAAGGUCCCCCACAUUGGAACUGAGACACGGUCCAAACUCCUACGGGAGGCAACAGGAGGAAUAUUGGUCAAUGGACGAGAGUCUGAACCAGCCAAAGUAGCGUGCAGGAUGACGGCCCUAUGGGUCGUAAACUGCUUUUAUAAGGGAAUAAAGUGAGCCUCGUGAGGCUUUUUGCAUGUACCUUAUGAAUAAGGACCGGCUAAUUCCGUGCCAGCAGCCGCGGUAAUACGGAAGGUCCGGGCGUUAUCCGGAUUUAUUGGGUUUAAAGGGAGCGUAGGCCGGAGAUUAAGCGUGUUGUGAAAUGUAGACGCUCAACGUCUGCACUGCAGCGCGAACUGGUUUCCUUGAGUACGCACAAAGUGGGCGGAAUUCGUGGUGUAGCGGUGAAAUGCUUAGAUAUCACGAAGAACUCCGAUUGCGAAGGCAGCUCACUGGAGCGCAACUGACGUUGAAGCUCGAAAGUGCGGGUAUCGAACAGGAUUAGAUACCCUGGUAGUCCGCACGGUAAACGAUGGAUGCCCGCUGUUGGUCUGAAUAGGUCAGCGGCCAAGCG
rnacentral:rRNA from 1 species